UGGGGAUUCGCCAAGUGGUAAGGCAGUAGCUUUUGGUGCUACCAUUCACAGGUUCGAAUCCUGUAUCCCCAU
rnacentral:tRNA from 1 species